AGAGUUUGAUCAUGGCUCAGGAUGAACGCUGGCGGCGUGCCUAACACAUGCAAGUCGAACGAAGCAUACCGCCCGAUUUCCUUCGGGGGAGAGGGAGGUAUGACUGAGUGGCGGACGGGUGAGUAACGCGUGGGCAACCUGCCCUGUACAGGGGGAUAACAGCCGGAAACGGCUGCUAAUACCGCAUAAGCGCACAGCGCCGCAUGGCGCAGUGUGAGAAACUCCGGUGGUACAGGAUGGGCCCGCGUCUGAUUAGCUGGUUGGCGGGGCAGCGGCCCACCAAGGCGACGAUCAGUAGCCGGCCUGAGAGGGCGACCGGCCACAUUGGGACUGAGACACGGCCCAGACUCCUGCGGGAGGCAGCAGUGGGGAAUAUUGCACAAUGGGGGGAACCCUGAUGCAGCGACGCCGCGUGAGCGAAGAAGUAUUUCGGUAUGUAAAGCUCUAUCAGCAGGGAAGAAAAUGACGGUACCUGACUAAGAAGCUCCGGCUAAAUACGUGCCAGCAGCCGCGGUAAUACGUAUGGAGCAAGCGUUAUCCGGAUUUACUGGGUGUAAAGGGAGCGCAGGCGGCGCGGCAAGUCUGAUGUGAAAACCCGGGGCCCAACCCCGGGAGUGCAUUGGAAACUGCCGUGCUAGAGUGUCGGAGGGGUAAGUGGAAUUCCAUGUGUAGCGGUGAAAUGCGUAGAUAUAUGGAGGAACACCGGUGGCGAAGGCGGCUUACUGGACGACAACUGACGCUGAGGCUCGAAAGCGUGGGGAGCAAACGGGAUUAGAUACCCUGGUAGUCCACGCCGUAAA
rnacentral:rRNA from 1 species